rnacentral:rRNA from 1 species
GAUGAACGCUAGCGAUAGGCUUAACACAUGCAAGUCGAGGGGCAGCAUGGUCUUAGCUUGCUAAGACUGAUGGCGACCGGCGCACGGGUGCGUAACGCGUAUGCAACUUGCCUCACAGAGGGGGAUAACCCGUCGAAAGACGGACUAAUACCGCGUACACUUGGAGGGAGGCAUCUCCCAUCAAGGAAAAGAAAUUCGCUGUGAGAUAGGCAUGCGUCCCAUUAGCUAGUUGGUGAGGUAACGGCUCACCAAGGCAACGAUGGGUAGGGGAACUGAGAGGUUGAACCCCCACACUGGUACUGAGACACGGACCAGACUCCUACGGGAGGCAGCAGUGAGGAAUAUUGGUCAAUGGGCGAGAGCCUGAACCAGCCAAGUCGCGUGAAGGAUGACUGUCUUAUGGAUUGUAAACUUCUUUUGUAGGGGAAUAAAGAACGGUACGUGUACCGUAGUGAAUGUACCCUACGAAUAAGCAUCGGCUAACUCCGUGCCAGCAGCCGCCGUAA